AUGGCUCAGGAUGAACGCUAGCUACAGGCUUAACACAUGCAAGUCAGGGCAUCAGGAACAAGCUUGCUUUGUUUGCUGGCGACCGGCGCACGGGUGAGUAACGCGUAUCCGACCUACCCAGUAACUCGGGCACAGCCGCUCGAAAGAGCGAUUGAUUCCCGAUAUGUCCUUGGAGUAGAUUCAAUGAUGAAAGAUUUAUCGGUAACGGAUGGGGAUGCGUGACAUUAGGUAGAUGGCGGGGUAACGGCCCACCAUGCCUACGAUGUCUAGGGGUUCUGAGAGGAAGGUCCCCCACACUGGAACUGAGACACGGUCCAGACUCCUACGGGAGGCAGCAGUGAGGAAUAUUGGUCAAUGGUCGGAAGACUGAACCAGCCAAGUAGCGUGAAGGAUGAAGGUUCUAUGGAUUGUAAACUUCUUUUAUACGGGAAUAAAACCACCUACGUGUAGGUGCUUGUAUGUACCGUAUGAAUAAGCAUCGGCUAACUCCGUG
rnacentral:rRNA from 1 species